UCCCCGUUAUCCUGGGCAGUCCCUCCAGAGUUCCCGGCAUAACCCGAUGGCAACUGGAGACAAGGGUUGCGCUCGUUGCGGGACUUAACCCAACAUCUCACGACACGAGCUGACGACAGCCAUGCACCACCUGUGCACUUGCCCCGAAGGGCUGCCGUAUUUCUACGACAUUCAAGUGCAUGUCAAGCCUUGGUAAGGUUCUUCGCGUCGCGUCGAAUUAAACAACAUGCUCCGCUACUUGUGCGGGUCCCCGUCAAUUCCUUUGAGUUUUAGCCUUGCGGCCGUACUCCCCAGGCGGGGCACUUAAUGCGUUAGCUACGGCACGGGAGGAGUCGACACCUCCCACACCUAGUGCCCAUCGUUUACGGCGUGGACUAC
rnacentral:misc_RNA from 1 species